GACGAACGCUGGCGGCGUGCUUAACACAUGCAAGUCGAACGGAAAGGCCCUGCUUUUUUGGUGUGCUCGAGUUGCUAACGGAUGAGUAACACGUGCGUAACCUGCCUUUGCCUUUGGGAUAACUUCAGGAAACUGAGGCUAAUUCCUGAUACGUGCUCCCUCUGCAUGGCAGCGGUUGUAAAUUUUCGGCGGCUGGGGCAGGUCUAGCGGCUUCUCAGCUUGUUGGUGGGGUAGUGUCUUACCAAGGCGUUGAAGGGUCGCCGGACUGAGAGGGUGACAGGCCACAUAGGGAUAGAGAAAGGGGCAAGACUCAUACGGGAGGAAGCAGUGGGAGAUAGUGGAAGAUGGGCGGAAGCCUGAAGCAGCAACGCCGCGUGGGAGAGGACGGCCUUCGGGGUGGAAACCGCUUUCGGCUGUGACGAAGAAUGAGUGACGGUAAUGGGUAAAGAAGCAACGGCUAACUACGUG
rnacentral:rRNA from 1 species